GCUCCACCUGCCGGGCUGGAAGCUUUGUGGAUUCUCAAACACAUCCGAGCUUCUUCCCAGAGGAUAGAGACAGGCGUGGACCAUGGUCUGAGGGGGACAGUUGUCAAAAGACCGGCAGUGGCGCCCCCUGCAGGGCUUUCUGAGGGUCCCCACCAGCCUCAGCCCAUGAUGUUCUCACCUGCUGCCUCACACUCUCCUGCACCUCUGGGUUACGGCCGAGCUCAAACAGAGUAAACUGCAGGGGCACUGCUGUCUGCAGAGAAGUAGGAAGAUGGGAUGAGAGGUGACACAGAAUCAGUUUGGAUUGUUAAAUCAUGAGUCUGACGUGAGAAGGUGACACAGCCUGCGUCAGCAUUGGUGACUCAACCCGAAGAGCUGAAUGGAAGCUCGUCAAAAGAGGGAGGUGACAUUAAUCCAUCUCCUCCCCUCCCCUCGCCUGGGACACCAAGGUCAGUCAUUUUUGGAUUGAGAGGAGACAAGACACCCAUCCUUUAAAGCUGUUUUACCCCGAACACCGUGACGGAAAAAUGUUGUGCAGGCUGGGUGAAUUAAUGCAGGAGCUAGCAGAGCAAUCACACAUGAAAUGUACAUCAAGCAAACCCCAGGUCACAAAUCACUGGGGAUGAUGACCUCCAACCUUCCAGCGCGAAGCGGAAGAGAUCAGGGCUCGGAU